GACGAACGCUGGCGGCGUGCUUAACACAUGCAAGUCGAGCGGUAAGGCCCCUUCGGGGGUACACGAGCGGCGAACGGGUGAGUAACACGUGAGUAACCUGCCCCAUUCUUUGGAAUAACCAGUGGAAACGCUGGCUAAUGCCGAAUAUGACCAUCGAAGGCAUCUUCUGGUGGUGGAAAGCUCCGGCGGAGUGGGAUGGACUCGCGGCCUAUCAGCUUGUUGGUGAGGUAACGGCUCACCAAGGCGACGACGGGUAGCCGGCCUGAGAGGGUGACCGGCCACACUGGGACUGAGACACGGCCCAGACUCCUACGGGAGGCAGCAGUGGGGAAUAUUGGACAAUGGGCGAAAGCCUGAUCCAGCAACGCCGCGUGAGGGAUGACGGCCUUCGGGUUGUAAACCUCUUUCAGCAGGGACGAAGCGAAAGUGACGGUACCUGCAGAAGAAGGACCGGCCAACUACGUGCCAGCAGCCGCCGUAAGAC
rnacentral:rRNA from 1 species